rnacentral:rRNA from 1 species
GAUGAACGCUGGCGGUAUGCCUAAUACAUGCAAGUCGUGCGGAAAGGCCUCUUCGGAGGUACUCGAGCGGCGGACGGCAGAGUAACGCGUAGGAACAUACCCCCAAACUGAGGGAUAACUGCUCGAAAGAGUAGCUAAUACCGCAUGUGGUCUUCGGACUAAAGCUUCGGCGGUUUGGGAAUGGCCUGCGUUCGAUUAGCUAGUUGGUGAGGUAAUUGCUCACCAAGGCGACGAUCGAUAGCUGGUCUGAGAGGAUGAUCAGCCUGACUGGAACUGAGACACGGUCCAGACUCCUACGGGAGGCAGCAGUAGGGAAUUUUCCACAAUGGGCGAAAGCCUGAUGGAGCAAUACCGCGUGCAGGAUGAAGGCCUUCGGGUCGUAAACUGCUUUAUGUGAGAAGAAUUUGACGGUAACGACAUGAAUAAGGGUACGGCGUAACUACGUGCCAGC